GACGAACGCUGGCGGCGUGCUUAACACAUGCAAGUCGAACGAAGUGGCGAACGGGUGAGUAACGCGUAAUCAACCUGCCCUUCAGUGGGGGACAACAGUUGGAAACGACUGCUAAUACCGCAUACUGAAGGAGGGGAUUGCGUUUGAUUAGCUAGUUGGAGGGGUAACGGCCCACCAGGGCGAUGAUCAGUAGCCGUGCUGAGGGGAUGAACGGCCAAAUUGGGACUGGGAAACGGGCCAGACUCCUACGGGAGGCAGCAGUGGGGAAUCUUCCGCAAUGGAGGGAAGUCUUGCGGAGCAACGCCGCGGGAGUGAGGACGGCCUUCGGGGUGGAAAUCUCUGUUAAUCGGGACGCGGUACCGGAAUAGAAAGCCACGGCUAACUACGUGCCAGCAGCCGCGGUAAUAC
rnacentral:rRNA from 1 species